UGAAAUAAAGGGGUGCUGUAGCAAGCUGAGAUUAUACCCAAUGAACCUGGAACGGGUAAUGCCGUUUAGGGAAAUUAAAAAUGAGCAAU
rnacentral:ncRNA from 17 species